CUCAGCACAGUUAGUCCACUUUCUAUCCUUCAGCAUUUGCUCAGACUCGUGUGGAUGAGAUGUAUACCCAUCCUGCCCUCUGGCUCCGGUACUUUCUCUAUCACAGACAGCAUUGAUAACUAACCUUUUUUGGAUACUAUUAUAUGUUUUAUAAUGUUUUGUUGCAGAUAAGAUUUUUGCAUAUGUAUUUGGUCUCUUGUGUGGCCGUGUACAUACGAGGCAAGUCCUCUUCCACUGAGCCACACACUCAUGCUAACUGCAAUUAUAUUUUUUCUUUGAAUCUCAAAUUCUUUUUAGUAUUAUUAAUUAUUUUCAAGUAGUCUCUAUGUAAUGCUGACUAGAACUGGCAGUACCUCUCACUUAGCCUCCUUAAUGCUGAGGUUACAAGCAUGUGCCACUGAGUCCAGGUAACUCUCAGAGUUUUGGUUUCCAGUGAUUGUUUUCCUCAGUUAUCUGCCAAGUGCCUAUCCUAAUCUUGAAUACUUGACUUAAAUGAGUGCUUGGCUUUCUAGCUUGCAAAAGCUAAUAGUUAACAUUGAGAUAUAGACUCAACAUACAGAGUCAUUAUUUACUAGCUUUAGUGUAUUAAAGACCACUACAAUUCCAAAUUAAUAUAUAGUAAUAGUUACACCAUGAACAAAUUACACUUUGAAACUUUGUUUCUCAAUCUGAUAAUAAAGAGCUGGAGAAGAGUAAUGGAGCCUUAAGUAUAUAGCACAUAAAAAGUACCUGACGGGCUUCCACUAGUAUAUAUCACUACAGGGAGAGACGUAAAGACAGCCUUAAACAAAUCCUUUAAUCCUUUUUAAUUCUGAGCAUCCUAACAUUAUUUAGAAUUUUAAAUACAUUUGUAUAGGGUUGAAGAGGCAGCUGAUUCCUAGAUUGAAUUUAACUGUAACAGGAACUCUAAGUUUACUUUAGGAUUGGAAAAAAUAACUGACUUAAAGCCUGGUUUUGAGUUCCUUUCUGCUGCUACUUUUGUGAACUUAGGCAGAAUUUAUAUCAGUCAGCGAUUGAUUAUAAUCGUACCUACCUCUAUGUAUAAUAGAUUGCAUUUUCCAGAAUUAAUAAAUAUUUGAUAAUUUCCAUACAUACUUAAUCUUUGCAUGGGAAUAGAUUCUGAGGCCACAUCUCAUACCUAGUGAACUCCUGAUUAUAAUAAGAAAUCAGUACUCUUAUCAAAUCUUGGUGAUUUCUAGUGACAAACUUAAGAACAUCUGUUAUUACUGGGUUUAGUGUAAGAUAUCCUUGAUAAACUUAACAGUCUGUCAAACUAUUAAAUACCUAAUGUUUAGAAUCAUUUUCAUUUGAGUUUGCUUUGUUAGUGAUUGAGUUUGUUUGUAAGUGAUUCCUGCAAAAGUACUUUUGUUUAUUGUAAAACAUGAAAAAAUACUGAUCAGAAUAGACAUUGUGUGAAGUGGUAUAAAGAUGAUAAAGACAGCAUGCCUUGACUGCAGUGUUUCCAGGGACUGUUUCCGUGUAUGCUUGUAUCUUUUACUGUAAAUAAUACUGAACUCCCUAAAUGACUUUCCAAUACCUUCAGUGCCAAACAUUAGUAGAAACAUUUCUACCGAAAUCCAGUAUAUUCUACUAAUGUCUAAUACCUAGAUUAACUAUUAAAACUAAGAAUUUAAAAAUUCAGUUCCUUCUGGAAGGCCAUUAUCAUUUAAAAUGAGGUUUUUGUUUUAGUUUUUUGAAAGAAGUCUCAUGUAGCCAGGUGGUCUUGACUUGCUGUGUGGCCUUGAACAUCUGAUCCUGCUGGCUUUACCUCACAAGUUCUGGGAUAACUGACAUGUGCUGCUAUUGCUAAGCCAGUCUUAUGUGGUACUGGAGAUCUAAUCUAGGGCCAUGUUAGUGUAAGCAGAUUUUUGUAAACUUAGCUGAAACCCUUUAUUUCCUGUUCUUCCUAGCUCAGCUUUCAAGAGCCAGCACUUUUCCAGUUAUUUUGUUUUCAUUAAAGUAUUAUAUUACUUACAAUUUAUUUUUACUCUAUGUGUACCGUGUUUUGCCUGUACAUAGGUCUGUGUGAAUACGUCAGAUCCCCUGGAACUAGAGUUAUAAACAAUUGUCAGCUGCCAUGUGGUUGCUGGGAAUUGAACCUGGGUAUUUUAGAAGACCAUUAAGUGCUCUUAACUGUUGAGGCAUCUCUUCAGCCUCAAGUAUUGCAUUAUCUUAAAAUGAAGUAUAUUAUUGCUUACUGUUUUAUAUUGGAGUUAUGUAUUAAAGUUGGCAGGGAUGCAAAAAUACUGAAUAGGAAUUUUUACUUAGUAAAUAUUUUGAAGUUCCAGUAGUGGUAGAGUAUAGAUGAUUUAAACAGGAAAAUGGUUAACAAGUAGUACAUUCUUGUUAACAAGUAGUACAUACUUGUUAAAGGGUCAUAAACAACACUAGUAUAUUUUAGAGAUAUAAUAUUGUUUGAGUAUUUGCAAUAUGCUAGGUAGUAUAUUAAGUUCUUUAUGUGUAUUUGCCCUCACACCCCAAUCCCAGGGAGAGGGGAUAUAUAAAACAAGGCCUCAUUGUAUACACCAGGCUAGCCUUAACCUUUUUGUAUGUAGCCCAUACUGGCCUCAAAUUCACAGUGUUUCUCCUGUUUCACCAUCCCAGGCUUUAGAGCUUUUAAGCACAUGCCACUAUGUCUAGCAUUCAAUUUCCUGCAUUUAACUCAUGUGACAGUUCUGGGAAAGGUUUUACUCUCCUUCUCAUUUUACACACAUGAAAUGGCUUAGCAGGAUCUCUCAGCAGUUAAGCUGCAGGGCAGAAAUCUAGUCUGCUAAGCAUGAUUCCAGGUGCAGAGUUCUUAAUUAUGCAAAAUGUCUGCAUCAUUAGCCAGACCAGUGUACACUCAUCACAUGGGAGCACAAGAGAAAGGCGUAAAGAACAUAGGCCCCUUUAUGCCUCUCUUGAAACCUUUGGAUUUUUUUUCUUUUUUCUUUCUACCUUUCUUUCUCUCUUUCUUUCUUUCUUUCUUUCUUUCUUUCUUUCUUUCUUAAUAAUUAGCCAUUGCUAUAACAUUUGAACAUUUUUCUUUUUUGUGAAAAUUUAAGGAUUUUAUUUAUUAAUUUAAUCAGUUAAGUUCUUAAUUCAUUUUUGUAGCCCUAGUUGUCAUUGAACAUUUUAUGUAGCCUAGGAUAACCUCAGACUUGUGAUCCUCUUAUCUCUAGUUCUUGGUUGCUAGGAUUACAAGCAUGCACCACUACAUCAUUUAACAUACAAUUAUUUAACUAACUUUCAAACAUUAUAUUUUUUAUUUCACUGAAAAUUACUUGGCUUAAAAUAUAGUAAAACUUUAAAAAUUACUAACAUAAUUUCUAAUAUUGCUGAUCUUUUAAAAAAGUAUUUAACAAAAUCGAUUUAGAGGAAAGAUAUUACCUAUUGUAAAUAUUACCACAUUAUUUAAAUAAAUAUUAUUUUAUUUUAUAGGGAUAACAACACCCAGUGUAAGCAUAAUUGGCCAACGUAUGAACUAUGGGUUUGGAUGUGGUGAUUUUGAAGAUGAUAGGUCACAUGACAUUUCACCUAGUGCUUUAAAAAUACAAAAUAAGGAACACCCAAGGCAAAAGUAUACAAAAGGUUUGUAAAUUUCAUGACAAAUUAAUUUUUAAUAUUCAAUAUAUCUAAGUCAGAAUCUUCUCUAAGCAUACC
rnacentral:lncRNA from 1 species